CCGGGUGUGGCGCAGUUUGGUAGCGCGCUUGACUGGGGGUCAAGAGGCCGCAAGUUCAAGUCUUGUCACUCGGACCA
rnacentral:tRNA from 1 species